UUGCACGCCCAAUUUUUCAGUUUUUGAUUUGUUAAAAAAGUUUGAAAUAUCCAAUAAAUGUCAUUCCACUUCAUGAUUGUGUCCCACUUGUGGUUGAUUCUUCACAAAAAAAUACAGUUUUAUAUCUUUAUGUUUGAAGCCUGAAAUGUGGCAAAAGGUCGCAAAGUUCAAGGGGGCCGAAUACUUUCGCAAGGCACUGUAUGUAUAUAUAUAUAUUUAAUAUAUAUUUUGACCAUUAAACAUGUGUGUUCUCUUGUUUUGUACUGUUCUGUAGUUUUGACCCAAUGAUUCGUCUGAGAAACAAAGAACUUUGCGUGCUUCAGGCCCAAACCUGGCGAAACAUUCAAUGACGUCAUCUUCAUGGACGAAUCAACCGUGGCCCUUGAGCAAUUCGCUCAAAAUUGCUACAGAAAAAAUGAAGAAAAUCAAGCAAGCCGAAUCCCAACCAUUUGGGGGCAAUUUCUCGCCAGGGACCAGGCCCAUAUUUGAUUUUUGAUUAGCUAUUUAUAAAAGCUAAAGUUACAUAAAAUAUUAUAGCCUACACCUCACGGACUGCUCUGUGUUCCACAAUAAUUCACUGUUGCCUCCUUGUUCACGUAUCAUGGCUCGAGAGUUCUUUGAGGAAGAAAUCAUCAAGAGAUAUGCUGGACCCUGUGUCAGAGAGGUGUUUCUGGGACUACAUUGUUUCUUUCAAGCGAGCCACCCUGGUAUCCUCCUCCUGCUGUCUGGCGAUGGUGGAAAUUAUAUUCUUGGGCACAGGCCCGGGCGAGGGAUCAAUACCGGCAGCCAGUGAAUCUUCUCAGUUGGUUUGUUUGGAGAGGCUUCGCUGGUUUGAGGUUUAUUGGCAGUACCCUCCAAUAAGGUGACUGUCUUUAAAUGAAAUAAUUUGUAUUUCUAAAAUAUCUAUUUAUGUAAAUGUGGUGGUUAACUGUUCUUUCUUUCCUACCAUCUAUCACGUUUCAGGUAUGACCCAGAUGCAAACAGUGUCGAAGAAACAAACGUUUAUUUCUAAAAUAGGGACGUCCGCAAACGCAGGUAGGGGUCAAUAAUUCAGUUAGGUGGGGCAAGGUACAGAACAGCAGACAGGCUCAGGGUCAGGGCUGGCAGAACUUUCAAAACCUGAAAGGACUACAAAACAGGAGCGAGAAACAGGCAGGAGCAGGGGAACAAACGCUGGUAGGUUUCACGAACAAAAUGAACUGGUAACAGAAAAAAGGAGAAUACAGGUAUAAAUACACAGGGUGUAAUGGGGAAGAUGGGCGACACCUGGAUGGGGGUGGAGCCAAGCACAAAGACAGGUGAAACGGAUCAGGGUCUGACACCAUCAGAAGUACAGUAUUGUUUGUCACUGUUUUGGUGUAUCUGUGUCAAACAAGCAAACCCAAUCCUCUAAGCUUCAAUACAUUUUGCUUGUUAUUUAUAUCUGCUUCUGCACUGUUUCCCCUAAUUGGUCUUAGAACCUGUGUCUAACGUUUAGAUGUUACAAUUUAAAAAAAUAAAAAUAAAUUAAAUUGCGAAGGUGUCUGGUCCGUUGUAUUGCUCAGAACUGUUGACCCAACUCAAUAGGUGGCCUGUCACGAUCCUGUGUGUCUUAUGUUCUGGUUGAGGUGUUACCCUCAAUAAACAGUAAUUGGCGUAGUCUGGUAGUUGCGCCAUUUUAGCUAACCCUAAUCAGCAGGUGUUACUACAAUAUACCAUGUCCUUAAAAACACUACAUUAAAUACUAUAGUAUACUACAGUAAUGCCCACAGAAACAAUUCAGUGAAUACUAUAGUAUACUACUGUAAAGUCUGCAAAAACACUACAGUUAAUACUAUAGUAUGCUACAGUCAUGUCUGCAAAAACACUUCAGUGAAUACUAUAGUACACUACAGUGAUAUCAGCAAAAACAUUAUAGCGAAUAAUAUAGUAUACUACAUUAAUAUCCGCAAAACACUACAGGGAAUACUAUAUCAUACUACAGUCAUGUCCACAAAAACACUACAGUAAGUACUACAGUGUAAUACAAUAAUGCCCGCGAAAACACGAGCGAAUACUAUAGUAAACUACAGUCAUGUCCGCCAAAACACUACAGUGAAUUUGUCAUUUUUAGCAGACCCUCUUAUCUAAAGCGAAUUAGGGUUAAGUGCCAUGCUCAAAGGUAGAUUGACAGAUUUUUUACCUAGUCAGUGAUUCGAACCAACAACAUUUCGGUUACUGGCCCAAUUGUCUUUACUCUAGGCUACCUAGUGUGAACACUACAGGAAAGUCAGCAAAAACACUACAGUGAAUAUUAUGGUAUAUUUAGUUAUGUCCGCAAAACACUACAGUGAAUACUGUAGUAAAGUCUGCAAAGAAUACUUCAGUGUAUAAAUAUAGUAAUACUGCACUAUUUAGACCAUAACAUACUAUAGUAUUUUUUUUUUAUG
ensembl:lncRNA